CAUUGACUUCUCAAACACCGAUCUGGUCUGUUUCGCAAGUGUUCCCGGAAGUACCGCGAUGUUGCGCCUCUGGCUUUAAAAACUCUGUGUUAUCAAGGACUCCAUAUUAACUUCUCCAUUGGAUUGGUCGAACAGUGCAAAAGAAAACCUCCCCCUACAGUUGUUUUCUCUCUCGUCAACACCAGUAUGCUGGCAAUCUAGUUUCAGACGUUUUUUAAUUUUUUAACAUAAUUACAGUAUUUUUAAUGGGAGGAAAAUUGAGGGGAGGGCUUUAGGAUUUGUGUGACAGUUCAACAGCGCAAUCUCCGUAAAGCGCAGUCAGACGGCUGGGGGCAAAAAAAAAUCGUAGAACUGGUUCUCGUAAGAGGUCGCAAGGGGGUGUCAAAUACGGACCUCCCCCCCCCCCCCCGGAAUAUAGCAUUUACUGAAUAAUGUUGGGUCUUUGAAGAGUUUCUGCUGCCUCUCCAGCUUCUAGACAAGAUCAUCUCUGACAGUGCAAGAACCUGUCCAGCAUUUGACAAAGGUCUUCUCAGCCAUAGCAUAAUGCUAUGUAGCUAGCUACCAGCUACUAGCUACAUAGCAUAAUGAUAUGUCGCUAGCUACCAGUUACUAGCUACAUAGCAUAAUGAUAUGUAGCUAGCUACCAGCUACAUAGCAUAAUGCUAUGUAGCUAGCUACUAGCUACAUAGCAUAAUGAUAUGUCGCUAGCUACCAGUUACUAGCUACAUAGCAUAAUGAUAUGUAGCUAGCUACCAGCUACUAGCUACAUAGCAUAAUGCUAUGUAGCUAGCUACCAGCUACUAGCUACAUAGCAUAAUGAUAUGUAGCUAGCUACCAGCUACAUAGCAUAAUGCUAUGUAGCUAGCUACCAGCUACUAGCUACAUAGCAUAAUGAUAUGUCGCUAGCUACCAGCUACUAGCUACAUAGCAUAAUGAUAUGUCGCUAGCUACCAGCUACUAGCUACAUAGCAUAAUGAUAUGUAGCUAGCUACCAGCUACUAGCUACAUACUUUGUUAUUCUCUCAUUUGUGACUCAAAUCCCAAAACAGAUGCGAAGUGAACGAGUGCCAGACUUCGUGGGGAAAUGUCCAGACCGCAGCUCUUCACGUGAGACACAUCCAGAUUUGGGGUAACAUCUCCCAAUUGUCACGCCCAGCUGUUCAGACCAGAGAUGGAUCAAGAGCUCAACCUCUGCCACUAUUUCGGCAGAGAACAGACAGUGGAUUUUACUCCAGGGAUGUAUGGGGAUACAGGCGAGACUGGCAACUACAGACAGCUCCAGGCUGGACCUGUCUGUCCCAUCUCUCUCUCUCCUCUAUCCUCAUCUGUCUGUCCCAUCUCUCUCUCUCCUCUAUCCUCAUCUGUCUGUCCCAUCUCUCUCUCUCCUCUAUCCUCAUCUGUCUGUCCCAUCUCUCUCUCUCCUCUAUCCUCAUCUAUCUGUCCCCACCACUGCUUGUAAACGACAAUGAUAUCUGUCAAGUCGUGUCCUGUUAUUUUCAUAACAAGGGAUCGAACAGAACAUAUGUCGGCUAGUUGGUGGAAUCAUCCCCAGAAUUGGUUCCAUUUGCAUUUAAAGUUAUUCACAGACAUCUCGGUAGGUUUUUUUCCCCUCAUGAAAUGGAGGAUCUCUGUUCUACUGCCUUCAAUAACCCAAUAAUCAGCCUUUUGUCUGAACCAAGCAAUUUACCAUUAUAAUGAACAAAGUGUAGGUCUAGUUUCAGAUGUGCCGUGGACAGUGAGUUUGUUGUUGUUCUGAAAAGCCUCGUUUCCAACCUUCAACAAUGGGAGUAAAACAUAGUAGAUGUUGCAAACUGUAUCAAAGAUCUUGUCGCCUCCUAAUGUCGCGUGUCAGACUUUACUACUACAGAGUUGGUUUGUUCUAAUAUAUUAUACCAGACCUUGACUGUAAACCUACAGGACGGUAGAUCUCCAGGAAGAGGGUUGGACUGAAAACCUACAAGACAGUCGAUCUCCAGGAAGAGGGUUGGACUGAUAACCUACAGGACAGUAGAUCUCCAGGAAGAGGGUUGGACUGAAAACCUACAGGACAGUAGAUCUCCAGGAAGAGGGUUGGGCUGAAAAACCUACAGGACAGUAGAUCUCCAGGAAGAGGGUUGGACUGAAAACCUACAGGACAGUAGAUCUCCAGGAAGAGGGUUGGGCUGAAAAACCUACAGGACAGUAGAUCUCCAGGAAGAGGGUUGGACUGAAAACCUACAGGACAGUAGAUCUCCAGGAAGAGGGUUGGGCUGAAAACCUACAGGACAGUAGAUCUCCAGGAAGAGGGUUGGGCUGAAAAACCUACAGGACAGUAGAUCUCCAGGAAGAGGGUUGGACUGAAAACCUACAGGACAGUAGAUCUCCAGGAAGAGGGUUGGGCUGAAAACCUACAGGACAGUAGAUCUCCAGGAAGAGGGUUGGACUGAAAACCUACAGGACAGUAGAUCUCCAGGAAGAGGGUUGGGCUGAAAACCUACAGGACAGUAGAUCUCCAGGAAGAGGGCUGGGCAGCCCUGUACCUUAUCAUACCAGAUUCUGAGCCUCUCGACUGGCUCUGUGAGAUUAGAUUAGUAGUCCCUCCCUCUUAUGAUUGUUGAUCUGUGGUGGAAAGAUGUUUUUAUUGCUUUACCUCAUUGCCAUGUUUUGCACCAGGACAAUUGGUGCUUUUCUCUAUGAUAUUAACCAGUGUAAAGACAACAACAGUACACUAACCCAGGUCCUAGAGUUCGAGGCAAAUUAAUAUCGUCAUUUCCCUUCGACGAAGUAGGGACCAUAUAGCCCAACAUAA